rnacentral:rRNA from 1 species
GAUGAACGCUGGCGGCGUGCCUAACACAUGCAAGUCGAGCGAUUCUCUUCGGAGAAGAGCGGCGGACGGGUGAGUAACGCGUGGGUAACCUGCCCUGUACACACGGAUAACAUACCGAAAGGUAUGCUAAUACGGGAUAAUAUGCUUUUAUCGCAUGGUAGAAGUAUCAAAGCUUUUGCGGUACAGGAUGGACCCGCGUCUGAUUAGCUAGUUGGUAAGGUAACGGCUUACCAAGGCGACGAUCAGUAGCCGACCUGAGAGGGUGAUCGGCCACAUUGGAACUGAGACACGGUCCAAACUCCUACGGGAGGCAGCAGUGGGGAAUAUUGCACAAUGGGCGGAAGCCUGAUGCAGCAACGCCGCGUGAGCGAUGAAGGCCUUCGGGUCGUAAAGCUCUGUCCUCAAGGAAGAUAAUGACGGUACUUGAGGAGGAAGCCCCGGCUAACUACGUGCCAGCCGCCGCAGUAAUAC